UGGGAUGUAAUUAGUGAGUCACCAGGUGAAGGUGUUACAGAAGGGAGAGCAAAAACCUAUAAAAACAGGACUCACAGGCUGCCUGGGUUUGGGAGGAGGUGAGAAGAUGCGCCCUAGGAAGCUGCAUGGCCUGAUUUGAGGUCUUGCGAAGGACAGCAAGGAGCAGCUCACCUCCAGCCAGGAGCAGACAAGGAGCUGACAAAUGCCUGUGGCUGUGCUGGGAAAAGGCUCCCCGAGGAAAUACCGAUAAGCGGCAGGGAUGCUGCACUUCUGGGCAUCCCUGUGAUGGCCCAAAGCAGCUGUGCUGGGGAGGAAGGAGCCUGAAUCCACCCUGCAGCCCCAGGCCACCCGAGCUUAUA
rnacentral:lncRNA from 1 species